UACAGGCAGAUUAUCUCUAAGGCUGCUCUCUAGGGGCAUGUGCUAAUUUAAAAAUCUUGUCCAUCUCAGCCUGACUGCUAACAACUCAUCUUAGACAACAUCCUUUUUACACCUCAUUACACGCCUCUGAACUGACAGUGAGUUAUCUUUCAGAGAACCGGGAAAAAAAUCAUGUAGAGAUGCUGACUCUCCAGUGAAGAAACACUUAGUACAUUAAAGUUCCCCCCGGGCUCAGGAAUAAAGAAGCGCGCGCAUGCUUUCCUACGCUGAUGGAACUUAGAACAGGGCGCUCUGCUAUCGAUGACCUGUAUUAAUGCCACGCAGAACAAGAUCUGGCAAGCGCCCUCCCAAUUCUGCAGGAACAUUCUGUUCACACCAUAAAGCUUGAGGGAAAAGGUUAGACACCUCAUUACAACGGACAAGUCUACAGACUCACAUUAAACAAUGCUGAAGUAUGGCUUUCCUCAGCGUUGGUGGCAACUCAAGCCACCCAAGCACCCUGCAGCAUGACUGUCUGCACUUCAGCAUCAAAGCAGACAUGUGACCACUGCUCUCAGCCUGAAUAAAUCCUUGCAAGUCAUUCAGGAGGAAAGCACGAGCUUUGCACAAAGCGCUGAGGCUGAACUGGGAGAGCGCUGCCUUUACUCUUCAGCUUUCGGACAGACCACCAUUUUACAGUUACUAACUGUGAGCCUGACUUCCUAGCUAUGGAAGCCAAUACGGUACCUGUAAGGUCUCUCUGCAGACGUAGGCUAUUUGCAUUUCAGAUAAUGGCCCAGUCACUAGAAAGAAACAACAACAACAUAUUGUCAUUUGAAGCCAACAUUAAAAACAGUCUAGCCAUAAAGUUAUAAAGCAGCGUAUAACUUCUGCAUGUAUCACUGGAUGCCUUCUUUUCUGACUAAGAGCAGAUUGCAUCUGCAUAAUUUAAAUGAAACAAACACUGAGAAUUUUAAAGUCAAUUCUGAAAAUAAGAGCUUUAUUCCCAGGCAGCUCUGGACAGUGAACAUGGAAAGUGCCCAUUAUGUGUAAAACUUAGUGCACGUGGCACACACAGGUCCCCAGAGAGCCAGGACUGUCAGCUCAGUCCUCAAACAGUCUCAGGAACUAAGCCAGGAGCAUGGCUGACUCUGUUCGUGAGUUACUGGCAGAGGCACAGAGCACUGGAGGAGACCUGCUCCUGACCUCUGAGAAUAUGCAUGCGCAGGGCAUGUGCACACACGCAAAACAGUCAUAACACAAAACAAUAUAAAGACCUUAAAGGUUAGUUAGAAGUAGUCGCUUGGAAACUAGUCUAGUGACACCUUUAACAUGUUCUCUAUGCGUUACGAGGGCUGAAACCCCAUGAGUUUAUGCUUGUGGAGUCGAGAUGAACUUUCUAGAGCAAGUCCCUCAGAACAGGCAGGCCUGGUUCAGAACCUUACCAAAGAUCAAAAGGAACCAGAUGAUCUCUGGAAAGCAGAUCUUCCUCUACCAUGAAAUAGAAAAUCCUUAUGCAAGAAUCCCAUCGGGAGCUUCGAAACAGCGCCUUUUGUACACGGGAGGAAACUGGUGCGCUGCCUGCUGAUGCUGAGACCCGGACUAGAGCUGACACAACAUCUCCGCAUAGAGAAAGCCCUUGAUGCUUCCUUUCAUUUCUGACUGACCACACCUACUUCCUGACACUUUCUGAUCCUUAGUAAACUGAUAAAAGAGCAUC
ensembl:lincRNA 4931403G20Rik RIKEN cDNA 4931403G20 gene